GAAGUUCCAGGGCCCGUGCUGGGAAAGAGGUGGGGGGACCAGGGGAAGACUCAGGGUGCAAUGGCAGCGCAAAUUCCAAUUGUGGCCACCACUUCCACUCCCGGAAUAGUCCGGAAGAGCAAAAAGAGGCCGGCCAGCCCUUCCCACAAUGGCAGCAGCGGCAGGGGCUAUGGUGCCAGUAAGAAGAAAAAAGUGUCUGCCUCCAGCUUUGCGCAGGGUAUCAGCAUGGAAGCCAUGAGUGAGAAUAAAGUGGUGCUCUCUGAGUUUAGCACAGGACCUGUGGAAAAAGCUGCCAAACCUUUGCCAUUUAAGGAUCCCAACUUUGUACACUCUGGCCCUGGUGGCGCAGUUGCUGGUAAGAAGAACAGAACCUGGAAGAACCUGAAACAAAUCCUCGCUUCCGAAAGGGCAUUGCCGUGGCAACUGAACCAUCCUAACUACUUCAGUAUUGAUGCUCCUCCAUCCUUUAAGCCAGCUAAGAAGUAUUCUGAUGUUUCAGGCCAACUACACAGACCCCCAGAGCAAACUGCGGUUCAGCACCAUUGAAGAGUUUUCCUACAUUCAGAGGCUGGCCUCUGACGUCGUCACUGGCUACCUGUCCCUGAGGAAGGCCACAAGCAUCGUUCCCUGA